rnacentral:pre_miRNA from 1 species
CCAGUGCUGGAGAUGUCAUCACGUGCUACCGCGUUCCAUGAUGUCAUCCUCCAGCACCACGC